rnacentral:lncRNA from 1 species
CCUUGCCCUCUUCCAUAUUGGCAGCCAUCACUAAUUGACUGUGAAAGUGGAGAAUUCAAUGGUUUAAGGUGAUCUCUUCUCUGAACUCCAAAACAGUUUGUGGAUGGAAAUCAGCUGAAGCAAAACAUUGGUUCAAUUACACUGUCAAGGGAUAUAGCUCCUGUACAACAAAGAGUGACCUUUCAGAGAAAAGAUGAAGCCAGCCUCAGGUUAACUCUGAAGGCCUCAGCUCAUCCAACUGAGAGCAGAUUAGCCCAGAUGGAGACAUUUUCAACACGGUUCUGUCUGACCAAUCAGCGACAGCUGGGAUUAGCCAAAUACCUUCUCUCAUCUGCUUGCUCACAGAAAGCUCUUCAGCUGAAUUGAUUUGAUCUGGAAAACUGAAGACAUACCACAAAAUAAAUAAAUA